GGCAGAUUCUCUAUACCUCCGAGCCUUUUGAGCAUCUAGAAAAUAUUUUGGCCUCAGCCUUGAGCAUCAGGAGGCGUCGCUGCGAUGUGCAUGUGACUUCUUACCCACAGCAGUAAGCAGAACACAGAGGCUGGAAACGAACCCUGCAGACGAAGAGAUGGAGGGAUGGACACAUGGACAGGCAGCCUGCUUUAGGAGCAACGUGUCCACACAUGGGUCUCCAGUGGAUGAUGGCUGCAGUGACUUGGCUGACACAUCGGGAACCCUUUGCCACCGGGCUGACAGGCUGGGUCUCAUCUCACAGAGUCCUCUUCACAAUCCAAAUUCAACAGGAUGCUAAUUGCUGUUGCACACAAAUAAAAGCAUUCUGUAAUCAAGCAUUUAGGGAAUCACAGAAUUAAACCAAGUCAACGAAGUUGUGCCUUUCAUGGGAUGAGGAACACCUGUCCAGGAGUGAUGGCUGCCAGGGAUACGCAUCAGGCUUUACAGAGCAUUUCUUGUGGCUGGAAAGGGUGAAAUAAACUUAGACUCUGCCCUCAUGUCCUCCCGCCACUGAGGUAACUGCUUCCCUCAAGUCCCUGCCAGUGAAGUCAGUGGGCAACAUGCAACCUGGAUAGAGGCCUCACCUCCCGCCACAGGAGCCCAGCAGGCAGCUUGCUUCAUUUGACUAGAGGACAGCUCAGAACGUCACUUAGCUCUGGUCUGCCAGGUGUUUAUGGACCAGCCCCAUCCCCUGGUUAGCACGAGGCUGUGAUGUGGAAACUUUGUGCCAGAUCGGAGCCCCUCCCAUCAGAUGGAGUAGCUGCUAGAGCUGAGAGGAAAUAGCCUCCUUUGAAACCCUGGACUAGAGGUAAGCCCUGAGUGGCAGCUCUCAGCAUGAGAUGAGUACACUAAGUCUCCCGGAAUGGAAAACAUGAAUCUCUUUUCCAUAGGCUUUUCUCCUGAGGGUGGGUGCUUAGCAAAACAAUUUGAAAAAUUGAAAUUGUGAAGGACAAGCUCUGCUGGUCCACUUCCAGAGAGCUCAGGGCAUGGAAAGCCCUCCCAGCCUCCCUCAGAAUCCCUGCACAAAUCCACCUGCACUGGGAGGUUGUGUUCCCAGUGGCCACUUUCAAAGGCAGAACUUUCUAUGCGAUAAGGAGCUGCCCACGCUGCCUAAGAACAUACACGUGGAGAGCAGCCAGCAGUUCAGUCCUCUGCGAUGCUUCCUGGGGGGGCCCUUCAUCCUGGGGUCUUUGCUUGGAGCUUGCCAGUCCGGAGGCCUAUGCUGGGUGAGCCCUGAGUUCGACUGGGCAGUGGGAGUUGCUGGCACUUGACUUCUUUGAGAAAUUCCCUGAACUUUCCACUUUGCUUUUAUUUUCUAUUUUCAAGAGCUUUAUUGAGUUACUAUAGACAUAAAAUAAAAGGUACAUAAUGAUAAUGUUGGACAUAGGUGUAGCCAUGGGGAGCUAUCCCCAGAGCCAAAAUAAUAAGGAGAUUCGUUGCCCUGAAACUUCCUUGUUCCCUUUUUUAACCCCUGCCCUCUGCUCUGGCAACCAGUGUUUGGCUAUCACUAUAAAGCAUUUCCAUUUUCUAGAAUUUUAUGUAAGUGGAAUCCUACUGUUCAUACUUACUCUGUCUGCUUUUACUCAAAGUAACUGUUUUUACAUCAUCAUGUAGUUGUGUGUAUCAGGUGCUCAUCCUUUUUACUGCUGAGCAGUUCCUUGUAUGGAUGGACCACAACUUGUUUAGCCAUUCAAGUGCUGACAGACAUUUAGAUUUUUCCAGAUUUUGCUCAUUACGAAUAAAGCUGCUCUGCAUAUUUGUGCUCACAUUUUUGUUCAGACAUUUGCUUUCAUUUUCCUUGCAUGAGAAUCUAGGCGUGGACUGACUGGGUCAAAUGUAUAUGUGUGUUUAAGCUUUUUAGAAAUUGCCGUGACGUUUUCUGAAAUUAUUGUACCAUUUUCUGAAAUUAUUGUACAUCGCAAGCAGUGCUUAAGAAUUCUGGUCGAUUCACAUUCCUCAACAACACUCUUUAUGGUCAGACUUUAACAUUUUGGCCAUUCUAGUAGGUGCACAGUGGUAUUUUUAAACACUUUUUUGUGGUGUGUAAUUUACAUACCAUAACACUGACUUGUUUAAGCAUACAAUUCAGUUAUUUUUAAUAAAUUUAGACUUCUGCACCAUCACUACAAUCUAAUUUUGGAACAUUUCAUCUAUUAUCAACUUUUGGUUUAUUUUCAUAUAAGGUACAAGCUCCUACUGUUUAUUUUUUUAUAUGAAUGUGUAAUCUUUCCAACACUAUUAGUUGAGAAGACUGUAUUUACUCAGAGCAUUUCUUUCAACCGAAUUACUCUAUCAACUUUGUGAAGUCAUUUUCCAUAGUGUCAUGGGUCUAUUUCUGGAUUGUAUAUUCUGUUCCCUGGAUGAAUGUUCUUACAUUUUCAUCAAUACUGUGCUCUCUUGAUUCCUAUAACUUUAUAUGAAUUAAAAUUGGGUAGAGCAUUUCUCAAACUUUUUUCUUCCUCAGAAUUGUCCUAGCUGUUCUACUUCACUCGCCUUUUCAUAUGAAUUUUAGAAUCAGCU